rnacentral:rRNA from 1 species
GACGAACGCUGGCGGCGUGCUUAACACAUGCAAGUCGAGCGGUAAGGCCCUUUCGGGGGUACGACGAGCGGCGAACGGGUGAGUAACACGUGGGUGACCUCGCCCUCCAGCUCUGGGAGUAAGCCUGGGAAACCGGGGUCUAAUACCGGAUAUGACUCCAUGACGCAUGUUGUGGGGUGGAAAGCCUUGUGCGGCUGAGGAUGGGCCCGCGGCCUAUCAGCUUGUUGGUGGGGGAUGG